ACUGUAGUGCACUAAACACUCGGGAAAUACAGAGUAGCAAAAGUUAUAGACGCUUUAGUGACCGGAUCCCCCAGUGUUAAGGAGAUAUAUUUAAGCCGAAAGAUUUUAUUCUCACUCACAUACGUGUCUGUACAUUAAUCCUGUAUAGAUCUAUUAAAUAUAGGUAUUGGGUGACAUUAACAGUAAAUAUUUCGCGAUUUUAGACAAAAAUAAAAUGCAGCACCAGAUCCAACGAUGGCUCUGCACAUGUGACCUGACCCAAGUGGCCCUUAAGAAAUGAUGAAUAGGCCUGAGACGAGAAGCUCAGAGGAAGCUGGCCAGCACCACAGUGUGUGCGUGACAGGGGCAGGCAGGGGUGAGCAGUCAUCAGCAGGAAAAGCAGACACCGCGGCCAGUUUUACUCACGGUUACUCUUUGAAUAUGUGCGGUAGUAGAAUAGUGUGAAGCCAGUCAUGUAUUUUACGCUUUAUAACGUACAUCUUGCAGUAAUGAAACUCUAAGGGCCAUUAAGCAUUAUUCCUCAAAAUUCUUCAAAAUAUCUGAAACUGUGUUCUACUGGAGACUCCUUGGAAACUACUGCAUGACAUUUACUGACUACUUAUUACUGCAUGUUUUGAAGACAUACCAAGGAAGCUAAUUGAAAUUUUAAUAUACUAAAGUACAUGCAUAUUAAAAGCAAUUAUUUCCAGUCACUGCAUUUAAUUAUGGUGUGUAAUAACCCUCUUCAAGGAGCAGCCAAACGUGCUACCUGACCUGCUUCAUUUGUGUGGUAUGCGUAAAUACAUUGGUAGAGUCUUCAUCAAGAUA